UUGACCUCAAAUCAGGUAGGACUACCCGCUGAACUUAAGCAUAUCAAUAAGCGGAGGAAAAGAAACUAACAAGGAUUCCCCUAGUAACUGCGAGUGAAGCGGGAAAAGCUCAAAUUUAAAAUCUGACGGUCUUUAUGGCCUUCCGAGUUGUAAUCUAGAGAAGUGCUAUCCGCGCUGGACCGUGUACAAGUCUCCUGGAACGGAGCGUCAUAGAGGGUGAGAAUCCCGUCUUUGCCACGGACUACCAGGGCUUAUGUGAUGCGCUCUCAAAGAGUCGAGUUGUUUGGGAAUGCAGCUCUAAAUGGGUGGUAAAUUCCAUCUAAAGCUAAAUAUUGGCGAGAGACCGAUAGCGAACAAGUACCGUGAGGGAAAGAUGAAAAGAACUUUGGAAAGAGAGUUAAACAGUACGUGAAAUUGUUGAAAGGGAAACGCUUGAAGUCAGUCGCGUUGACCAGGAAUCAGCCUUGCUUUUGCUUGGCGCACUUUCUGGUUAAUGGGUCAGCAUCAAUUUUGGUCGGUGGAUAAAGGUCAGGAGAAGGUGGCAUCUUCGGAUGUGUUUAUAGCUCUUGGUUGCAUACAUCGAUUGGGAUUGAGGAACUCAGCACGCCGCAAGGCCGGGUGUUUACACCACGUUACGUGCUUAGGAUGUUGGCAUAAUGGCUUUAAUCGA
rnacentral:rRNA from 1 species